UACGUAGGGGGCAAGCGUUAUCCGGAUUUACUGGGUGUAAAGGGAGCGUAGACGGUGCAGCAAGUCUGAUGUGAAAGGUCGGGGCCCAACCCCGGGACUGCAUUGGAAACUGUUGAACUGGAGUACAGGAGAGGUAAGUGGAAUUCCUAGUGUAGCGGUGAAAUGCGUAGAUAUUAGGAGGAACACCAGUGGCGAAGGCGGCUUACUGGACUGUAACUGACGUUGAGGCUCGAAAGCGUGGGGAGCAA
rnacentral:rRNA from 1 species